GACGAACGCUGGCGGCGUGCUUAACACAUGCAAGUCGAACGGAAAGGCCCUGCUUUUGUGGGGUGCUCGAGUGGCGAACGGGUGAGUAACACGUGAGUAACCUGCCCUUGACUUUGGGAUAACUUCAGGAAACUGGGGCUAAUACCGGAUAUGAGCUCCUGCUGCAUGGUGGGGGUUGGAAAGUUUCGGCGGUUGGGGAUGGACUCGCGGCUUAUCAGCUUGUUGGUGGGGUAGUGGCUUACCAAGGGUUUGACGGGUAGCCGGCCUGAGAGGGUGACCAGCCACAUUGGGACUGAGAUACGGCGCAGACUCCUACGGGAGGCAGCAGUGGGGAAUAUUGCACAAUGGGCGGAAGCCUGAUGCAGCAACGCCGCGUGCGGGAUGACGGCCUUCGGGUUGUAAACCGCUUUCGCCUGUGACGAAGCGUGAGUGACGGUAAUGGGUAAAGAAGCACCGGCUAACUACGUG
rnacentral:rRNA from 1 species